rnacentral:RNase_P_RNA from 2 species
CUCGACAAUCUUGUUUCUUUCGGGAUUCGAAUUGUUCUUCUUCUGCUCGUGAGAAAUUCGGAGUAAUCUUCACUAUUACCGUCAACUGCAUGUGGGAUUGCCCGCUUCUGGGAAUGUCUACCUCUGUGGAACUGACUGGUCUGCCCGUAAGGGUCUGGCGUGACUUCACAUCUGCAAUUGGCAUCAGAAAAGCAGGGCCUUUCACUUCGUCUCUGGCGUUGGAGUCUGGUUCCUAUGGGAGAGUCAUUGCGAAGAUUGUGUGGAUAACACUUAAGUGCGAUACGCAGCGUGCUGCCUUCUUUGAAGGCUAGUACAAUUCGAUUCUGAUUACUCUGAUGAG